CCCAUCCCACUGGUGGGGGGGAAGUGAGCGGGCAACCGCGUGGUGCUUAGUUGCUUGCUGGGGUUAAACCAUGAUGCACAGGUUUUCCACCAUGAUGUGAUGGUUGAUCACCAUGAUGAUAUGAUCACGGCAUAUCAAAUUCAAACGAGAACCUGCCAAGUUUUCCUUACCUAUGCUGAAACGUCCUUUGAUUAGUUCCUUCAACAUCCUCCUCAUUUUUAUUGCUUGUUUGAUGCUCUCUUUAACAGCAGCUGCCAGAAUAAUGAGAGGUAUUUGUUUGUAACACGGACACAGCUCAGAUAACUAAACCCAAGCAAUUUUGAUCAGUCUUCUAUUUGUCCACAGCAGAUCUCAUCAUGACACAUUUUGGACCACAGGCUGUAGAGGUAGUGCAUAUGAGGCUCCCAGGUAGGUGUCCAAGCCAUUGUUUGGUGUAGUGUUGUCCUGCCCACUGACCUGCAUAUUAUAGUGUGUGCGGAAUUCAGAGAAUAGCUUAAGACCUUUAACAAGCCAUGUGCCUCUCAGGCAACUUCCAUCCACAAGCCAAGCAUCCCAGCUGGCCAACUUUUGCUUUCUAGCCUAUGAAAGCUUUCCAGCCUCUGGAUGCAAUCCACUCCAGCAGCACAGUCAGUGCUGACUGUUACAUACAAUACCAAACACACUGUAGGAAGUGCUAAAUAAUUCUGUUUUGAAAAAAAAAAAAGUAAAAUACAGAAUAGGAUAGAUAGGAUUCAAAUAAUUUGAGGUCAUUUGCUGCGUAACCUUGUAUCAGGAACAACACACUCAGAAAUCUCUUGCAGUGUUCUUGCCUCUUUUCCCAUUACUUCAACUCGGUACCAAAGACAGCAGUUUUUUUUCCAAUAUCUUUUGAAUAAAGUGUCUCAAACUUGCUGGAAAAGCUUGGAAAGAUCAGUAAAGAUUUUUAGCUAACCAACUAAUAUAGCUGGGAAAAAAAGAAGGCAAAGGUUUAGAUACAUAGGCUUCCUGAGAUCUUCAAGGCAGCAAAUUUCAAGCUGAAUGUGGAUCAUUUGUUCUGAGUUUAAUGUAAUGGUUUUAAUCUGUGUGAAAGAACACUGUGACUGGCAUCUUUGAAGCAGAGAGGCAGAAGUCUCAGCAAAGGGAGAAACAAUAAGGUCAUUUGUUACUCCCAGAGGGAGGGAGAGAUAUGAACAAAAAGUUGUGAGCAAGAGAAUCCCUUAUAUCUCUCUCUUUUUUUAUUUCUACAUCUACAAAGUGUGUGAAUAGUGCUAUUUACACAUAUAUUUUACACUUACAUGGUGAGAAUCGGCUAGGUAUGCCUGUGCUCUGUCUUGAACACUUGGGGUAAAUGCUCUGAUUAGCAAUGUCUCAUGUAACAGCUGUGCCAAAUUUGGAGAAAUCGUAAUGUCCAAAAGACAUCUGCCCUUCUCUGUAAACUCACAGAGGCCUGGUAAUGUUCAGCAGGGUGCUUCAAAUAUAGAUUCAAAAUGUUUCAAUCAUUCAUACUUGUACUAGCAGUACUGCAAAAACAGCUUCUUCCAGACCUGAAUUCAAGGGGGAAAAUGUUUCAUAAGAAAACAUUAUGUAUAUCACUUCAUUUUGAAUCCAGCUGGAUGCCACAGUCCUGUGUAGAUCUGUUAAUAUCCAACUACUUAUGACAAAUUAAAGCAUCACGUACAGGAGCAUUACAAGGUGCUCUGCAUUUCUGCAGACAGACCAGUGGAAGCUACUGAUACUAAAGUGGUAUUUCCUGUCUUUGCCCAUAUUGUGGACCACUUAAGAACUCAGUUAUGUCACACUCUUCACUCCUAUAUAGAAAUAAAUAUCAUCUUCCCUUCUGCUAACCUACCUUUUUUUUUUCUGCUGUGUGUUCCAGUCAUAUCUGACAAAAGCCAAGCUCUAAUUCAGAGUAAUUCCUUUUUUCAGCAUGUAUGUGCAUACACACAUCUAGAUCUGCUCAUACCUGCUCUGUCUACUUCUAAAUGCAAACUCUCAAGUGCUCUGGAGUAAGAAGUUAUGAGAAUAAAGCAAGGACAACUGGUUCACCUCUCUGCCUUUUUUAUACUGCUGGUGUUUAUUUUUGUCAUAUUGGCCUCGAUGUGAUAUUCAGCUGACAUGACUGUGUUUCCAAUCAGCAAUCUUAAAUGUAGUGAAACUUGAACUGAAGCUUCAAGAAGUUGUGUAAUACUUACUUUUCAAAGAAAGCUAACUCUUUUGACAGUUUUCUUUUCAAUGGAUUAGCUAGAAAUAAUUCUGAUGUAUUCUGCUUCAACAACAGAGUGUAAAGUGGAAGAAGGGUGCUUUUAGCAGAGCCAAGAAGUUUGGUUUAAAAUAGCUCAGUAUGGGGAGGCACAGUAUCUUAAUUUAGCCAAAUGUUAGGGUAGCUCAAGCACUUCACAAGUGUUUUUCUGAUUUUCAGGUUUUUCCUAAUUCCAGCUUCUGCCCAGUCUAAAUUUACUUGCCAUUUUAUUUAAGAGCUGAAGGACAUAAUCUGCCAGAUUUUGUUUAUAAUCUGCAGGCAUCUGAUUUCCUGCGAAUUAUGAAGGCAAGCUCAGAGGAGACCUCCGUUGCCUUACUGCAGCAGCACAGUUCCAAGUGCAGGCUGGCAGGGAGAGGGGCCCAGGAAACUGGAGCCUGGGAGCGUGGCACAUACAUAACCUCACACCAUGCCAGAGUAUCCACCCUGCCUGGGCAGCCCCUCUUCGCCUACCUUCUCCUCUCUUUCCUGCAGCUGCAGCAAAGGUGAACCUGAUCUCAGGAUGCCAGAAAAUCAAGCUUUGGUACUUCCACAAAGCAGAAUGAAUGCUCUGCGCUUUCACCCUGAAUCUUCUGUCGCAACUGCCCAUUAACAUGGGGUUAAAUGAAAACAGAGCUGCUGGAAUAAUAUGAAAAAGGAAUGAUGGCAAGCAGAGUAUAUGUCAUAUAUCAUGCAAGAAGUUAAGGACAGUAAGAAUAGCCCAUAAACUUAAAAGCCACAGCAUCAAAUCCUGGACAAAUAUUUGUAUGUGUAUAUACAAAAGCAUGUUUUGCCUAGCUGACAGGCAGGAAAGAUCUUGUUUUUCAAGUUUCUUGUUUUUUGAUCUUUGAACCAUCACAUGGAUCCUUUCCAAGUGGCACAUCUACCCCCUAUAGUUCUUUUGGGAGAAUUUUUGCAACUUACACACUCCUGUACUUGCAGAUCAUAUUUGUGUAUCAACUUUGUUUCCUUGGCUGCCUCAGUGGGAUGGGAGCCUGCUGGGUAUUUCCCUGCAGAAUAUGUGAGCAGCAUAAUAAUUGGUACUGGCCAGAAAACAAGCACUCGAUUUCAGGAGAGUCGGUGAGGUUACUGCAUUUGCUUUUCCUCUGCACUAAAACUAAACCUUGAAAAAUGUUUUGCACAAAGAAAGUACAGCAACCUUAUCAGAAACCACGGUAAGAUCCCUCACUGCUGGAUUAUAGCUUUGGUAUAGCUCUCACUUUCUUGCAAACUCUUCUAUUGCAGCUGUUCCAUUUUGUAUAAAUUAAACAUGUCUUGAAUAAAAAAAUAUUUUCUUCAUAA